rnacentral:ncRNA from 1 species
ACGGCAAGCUAAUCUCUUAAAGCCAGUCUCAGUUCGGAUUGUAGGCUGCAACUCGCCUACAUGAAGUCGGAAUCGCUAGUAAUCGCGGAUCAGCACGCCGCGGUGAAUACGUUCCCGGGCCUUGUACACACCGCCCGUCACACCACGAGAGUUUGUAACACCCGAAGUCGGUGAGGUAACCGUAAGGAGCCAGCCGCCUAAGGUGGGAUAGAUGAUUGGGGUGAAGUCGUAACAAGGUAGCCGUAUCGGAAGGUGCGGCUGGAUCACCUCCUUU